CGCGGUCUUCGGUAGUGAUCCCCGGGAACGGCUUCAAGGAAUGAAGCCUUAGCCCGUGGGUCUCGAUCGAUGACCGGG
rfam:Arthrobacter sp. Leaf69 contig_6, whole genome shotgun sequence.